rnacentral:rRNA from 1 species
ACCUUACCAGCUCUUGACAUCUUCUGACAACNNCUAGAGAUAGAGCGUUCCCUUCGGGGACAGAAUGACAGGUGGUGCAUGGUUGUCGUCAGCUCGUGUCGUGAGAUGUUGGGUUAAGUCCCGUAACGAGCGCAACCCUUGUUGUUAGUUGCCAGCAUUAAGUUGGGCACUUUAACGAGACUGCCGGUGAUAAACCGGAGGAAGGCGGGGAUGACGUCAAAUCAUCAUGCCCCUUAUGAGCUGGGCUACACACGUGCUACAAUGGAUGGUACAACGAGCAGCGAUCCCGCAAGGGCUAGCUAAUCUUUCAAAGCCAUUCUCAGUUCGGAUUGCACUCUGCAACUCGAGUGCAUGAAGUCGGAAUCGCUAGUAAUCGCGAAUCAGAAUGUCGCGGUGAAUCCGUUCCCGGGUCUUGUACACACCGCCCGUCACACCACGAGAGUUUGAAACACCCGAAGUCGGCCGGCCAACCCUAUGGGAG